rnacentral:guide_RNA from 1 species
AUAUAUAUACAACGACGGUAACUGACUGUAAAUUGAUCUGUGAAAUUAA